rnacentral:rRNA from 1 species
CCCUUAGAUGUUCUGGGCCGCACGCGCGCUACACUGAUGCAUUCAACGAGUUCUUCCUGGUCCGAGAGGAAUGGGUAACCUUUUGAAAGUGCAUCGUGCUAGGGAUAGACUAUUGCAAUUAUUGGUCUUCAACGAGGAAUUCCUGGUAGACGUAGUUCAUCAGACUGCAUCGAUUACGUCCCUGCCCUUUGUACACACCGCCCGUCGCUCCUACCGAUUGGAUGAUCCGGUGAGCUAUUCGGACCUGUGCAUUUUCCAUUGGAACUUGCGUGGGAAAGUCUCGCGAACCUUAUCAUCUAGAGGAAGGAGAAGUCGUAACA